UACGUAGGGGGCUAGCGUUGUCCGGAAUUAUUGGGCGUAAAGAGCUCGUAGGCGGUUUGUCGCGUCUGCUGUGAAAUCCCGAGGCUCAACCUCGGGCUUGCAGUGGGUACGGGCAGACUAGAGUGCGGUAGGGGAGACUGGAAUUCCUGGUGUAGCGGUGGAAUGCGCAGAUAUCAGGAGGAACACCGAUGGCGAAGGCAGGUCUCUGGGCCGCAACUGGACG
rnacentral:rRNA from 1 species